AGGACGAACGCUGGCGGCGUGCUUAACACAUGCAAGUCAAGGGGACCCGCAAGGGUAACCGGCGAACGGGUGCGUAACACGUGAGCAACCUACCGAGAUCUGGGGGAUAGCCGGCCCAACGGCCGGGUAAUACCGCAUACGCUCUUUCCACGGCAUUGUGGAUUGAGGAAACCUCCGGGGGAUUUCGAGGGGCUCGCGGCCUAUCAGCUAGUUGGCGAGGUCACGGCUCACCAAGGCGACGACGGGUAG
rnacentral:rRNA from 1 species